GACGAACGCUGGCGGCGUGCUUAACACAUGCAAGUCGAACGGAAAGGCCUGCUUUCCCUUGUGGAUUGCGGGUACUCGAGUGGCGAACGGGUGAGUAACACGUGAGUGAUCUGCCCCCAACUUGGGUAUAAGCCUGGGAAACUGGGUCUAAUUCCCGAUAGGACUGCAGGGUGGUGCCUGUGGUGGAAAACGAUUUUCUAGUGGUUGGGGAUGAGCUCGCGGCCUAUCAGCUUGUUGGUGGGGUAAUGGCCUACCAAGGCGGCGACGGGUAGCCGGCCUGGGAGGGUGGACGGCCACAUUGGGACUGGGUUACGGCCCAGACUCCUACGGGAGGCAGCAGUGGGGAAUAUUGCACAAUGGGCGGAAGCCUGAUGCAGCGACGCCGCGUGGGGGAUGACGGCCUUCGGGUUGUAAACUCCUUUCGACCGCGAGGAAGCCACCUGGUUGGAAGGGUGGUGACGGUAGUGGUAGAAGAAGCACCGGCUAACUACGUG
rnacentral:rRNA from 1 species